GACGAACGCUGGCGGCGUGCUUAACACAUGCAAGUCGAACGGAAAGGCCCUGCUUUUGUGGGGUGCUCGAGUGGCGAACGGGUGAGUAACACGUGAGUAACCUGCCCUUGACUUUGGGAUAACUUCAGGAAACUGGGGCUAAUACCGGAUAGGAGCUCCUGCUGCAUGGUGGGGGUUGGAAAGUUUCGGCGGUUGGUGAUGGACUCGCGGCUUAUCAGCUUGUUGGUGGGGUAGUGGAUUACCAAGGCUUUGACGGGUAGCCGGCCUGAGAGGGUGACCGGCCACAUUGGGACUGGGGUACGGGCCAGAGUCCUGCGGGAGGCAGCAGUGGGGAAUAUUGCACAAUGGGCGGAAGCCUGAUGCAGCACCGCCGCGUGCGGGAUGACGGCUUUCGGGUUGUAAACCGCUUUCGCCUGUGAAGAAGAGUGAGUGACGGUAAUGGGUAAAGAAGCACCGGCUAACUACGUG
rnacentral:rRNA from 1 species